UGGGGUGUCGCCAAGCGGUAAGGCACUGGACUCUGACUCCAGCAUUCCUUGGUUCGAAUCCAAGCACCCCAGCCA
rnacentral:tRNA from 1 species